rnacentral:rRNA from 1 species
GGAACUCGAAUUAAUACCGCAUACGACCUACGGGAGAAAGGGGGCAACUUGUUGCUCUCGCUAUUAGAUGAGCCUAAGUCGGAUUAGCUAGAUGGUGGGGUAAAGGCCUACCAUGGCGACGAUCUGUAGCUGGUCUGAGAGGAUGAUCAGCCACACCGGGACUGAGACACGGCCCGGACUCCUACGGGAGGCAGCAGUGGGGAAUAUUGGACAAUGGGGGAAACCCUGAUCCAGCCAUGCCGCGUGUGUGAAGAAGGCCUUUUGGUUGUAAAGCACUUUAAGCAGUGAAGAAGACUCUUCGGUUAAUACCCGGAGACGAUGACAUUAGCUGCAGAAUAAGCACCGGCUAACUCUGUGCCAGCAGCCGCGGUAAUACAGAGGGUGCAAGCGUUAAUCGGAAUUACUGGGCGUAAAGCGAGCGUAGGUGGCUUGAUAAGUCAGAUGUGAAAUCCCCGGGCUUAACCUGGGAACUGCAUCUGAUACUGUCAGGCUAGAGUAGGUGAGAGGAAGGUAGAAUUCCAGGUGUAGCGGUGAAAUGCGUAGAGAUCUGGAGNGAANNUACCGANUGGCCGANGGCAGCCUUCUGGCAUCAUACUGACGCUGAGGCUCGAAAGCGUGGGUAGCAAACAGGAUUAGAUACCCUGGUAGUCCACGCCGUAAACGAUGUCUACUAGUCGUUGGGNUCCCUUGAGGACUUAGUGACGCAGCUAACGCAAUAAGNUAGACCGCCNUGGGGAGUACGGNCGNCAAGGNUUAAAACUCAAAUGAAUUNGACNGGGGGCCCGCNACAAGNCGGNUGGAGCAUGNUGGUUUNAAUUNCGANUGCAACGNCGAAGAACCUUANCCNUGGNUCUUGNACAUCCAGNAGGACUUUCCAGNAGAUGGANUUGGNUGNCCUUCGGGAACUCUNNGAGANCAGGUGNNCUNGCAUGGCNUNGUCGUNCAGCUCGUGUUGUGAAAUGUUGGGUUAAGUCCCGUAACGAGCGCAACCCCUAUCCUUAUUUGCCAGCGAGUAAUGUCGGGAACUCUAAGGAGACUGCCGGUGACAAACCGGAGGAAGGUGGGGGCGACGUCAAGUCAUCAUGGCCCUUACGGGUAGGGCUACACACGUGCUACAAUGGCAAGUACAAAGGGUUGCAAUACUGCGAAGUGGAGCCAAUCCCAUAAAGCUUGCCUCAGUCCGGAUUGGAGUCUGCAACUCGACUCCAUGAAGUCGGAAUCGCUAGUAAUCGUGGAUCAGAAUGCCACGGUGAAUACGUUCCCGGGCCUUGUACACACCGCCCGUCACACCAUGGGAGUGGACUGCACCAGAAGUGGUUAGCCUAACCUUCGGGAGGGCGAUCACCACGGUGUGGUUUCAU